rnacentral:tRNA from 1 species
GGCUGGUUAGCUCAGUCAGUUGGAGCAUGGUGCUGAUAACACCAAGGACUCGGGUUCAAUCCCCGUUCAGUCC